GGCACCCGCUCCGGCUGUGCUGACCCGGCUUCAGUGUGCAGGUUUGCGGCGCUGGCCAGGUUUCCUGCAGAAGGCGGCUCCGGGCCCAGCGGGGCAGAAUGGAAGGAAGGUCACGGGAGCCCCGGUCCCCGCAGUCAGCGAGCCUCAGGACGGCGACGAUUUAAGGCUCCCACUCCCAGGAGACUGGUGAGUCUUUGGUUGGUGGUGAUGGGACACAGUGUCUGUCCGUCCUCCCUUUUUCAGAUUUCCAGAGCAGGAUACUAGAUGUGCCGUUACAACAUUCAGAUUUCUUCAAUGUCAAGGAGCUGUUUUCUGUGAAGAGCCUCUUCGAGGCCCGAGUACACCUGGGACAUAAAGCCGGUUGCCGCCAUAGGUAGUUGGCACGGGCAGUGCAGGCAGAGUGGUGGGAUUGGGUCAAGGUCGUAAGUGAGGCUGGGUGGGGGUGUCUGGAGCAACACCAAGUACUAAUAUUGAUGCUGUUCACAGACAUGGUGAAAAUUGAGGGUCAUUGCUGACUGGGGACCCCUCCUGAGAGGUCCUGCUG
rnacentral:lncRNA from 1 species